rnacentral:rRNA from 1 species
UACGGAGGGUGCAAGCGUUAUCCGGAUUCACUGGGUUUAAAGGGUGCGUAGGCGGGCAGGUAAGUCAGUGGUGAAAGCCUCCAGCUCAACUGGAGAACUGCCAUUGAUACUGACGGGCUUGAGUACAGACGAGGUUGGCGGAAUUGAUUGUGUAGCGGUGAAAUGCAUAGAUACAAUCAAGAACUCCGAUUGCGUAGGCAGCUAACUAGGCUGUAACUGACGCUGAGGCACGAAAGCGUGGGGAGCGAACAGG